CAAAUUAAAGCUUUUAUAGUUUUUCAUUUACAUUGAAAAGAAUCUUUUAAUUUAGAUAAUUUGA
rnacentral:tRNA from 4 species